AUGUCUAGUGUAUUCGGAUUGGUCAGAUGACUACUCAACUGUUAUUGGUCAACUGGGUUCGGCGUGUGUUUGAAAGGUUACGCCCCUGACUACGCGUGGAUUUUCCGGUUCUGACUGAGAGUCACAGGCAACGUAAACAAGCGCUAUAUUUCUCUAUAAACGAUGGUGUCUGUACUGCCUUACCACUUCAAGCUCGAUCCAGAGAGUUCAGACGGCCGUUACGAUGUAAACGAUCUCGGUCAAUGAACGCGAUUGGAUUUAACUUUUUUAGGUGUCCUUAGCUCUGCCAGAAUGCUAAACGAAGACGAAAAUGUGUUGCAAAGACAUCCAAAAGGUUUUAAGGAGAAUGCAACAUGUUCCAGGGCCUCUUACCUGCAUGAUUCAUCAUCCAGGUUUUGCACAAAUUGUCUAAAUCCCUACACACAGAACAUUUAUUGUACCGACUAUAAGCCUUUGAGGUGCAGGACUAGAAUACGCUUGGAGCUUCCUGAUCAGAUCGGUCACAAUUUUGGCUUUCGACGACCCCUGCACUGAAGAUGGCAUGCAAUCACGUCCUCCUUUGAAGGUCUCUCAAACUGUGAUGCCAGGUCCAUUGGAAUCGGGGUUUCCUUC